rnacentral:rRNA from 1 species
GACAGAGGAUGCAAGCGUUAUCCGGAAUGAUUGGGCGUAAAGCGUCUGUAGGUGGCUUUUUAAGUCCGCCGUCAAAUCCCAGGGCUCAACCCUGGACAGGCGGUGGAAACUACCAAGCUGGAGUACGGUAGGGGCAGAGGGAAUUCCCAGUGUAGAGGUGAAAUUCGUAGAUAUUGGGAAGAACACCAGUGGCGAAGGCGGCUCACUGGCCCGAUACUGACGCUGAGGUGCGAAAGCGUGGGGAGCAAACAGG